UUUUUUGGUGGCUGUGCGUGGGAGACUCUAGGGUCUGCCGGUUUAGCCUUGCCCCGGUUCGCCAACCCGCGUACAGCUGCCACCCCU
rnacentral:antisense_RNA from 2 species